UGGCACUGAUGAGCAAAUCAAGGCCGAGAGCUCAAGGGACAGGGAUCAAGUCACUGCAAUGGUUGGUCAGUGGCUAAAGGGGACUUAGACCCCAGGUCUCCUGACUCCCUUGAUGCUGCUGUUUCUUGUCCUUCUAAACCUCUUCUGAAGACUUGGGAUUUUCAGUUGUUUUUAAAGAAGGCAUUGGGGGGAGGAAAAAAAAAAAAGGAGGCAAGGUCAUAAACCCAAAUGUGGAAAACAGAUACAAGACGCUGCUGUUCCUUCCCUCAUUAUGUCACUGCAAGGAAGACUAGAAAAUGUCACCUAAGAGAAAAACUUGGCUUUCAUUUCUUGCUCCUUAACAGCCACGGGGCCUCUGAACAUCAGGUGCUUCUUCCCAAACGUCAUCAGCUCAUCCAUCUUUCUAGAAAGGAGACAAAUACAAAGCUUUGAAGACCAAAACUCAACAUAUAAUGUCAUAUUAUUUAUACUUCUGACAGUUCCAAUUUUUGUCUUAUUCUUUCUUAUCAC
rnacentral:lncRNA from 1 species